rnacentral:rRNA from 1 species
UACGUAGGGGGCAAGCGUUGUCCGGAUUUAUUGGGCGUAAAGAGCGUGUAGGCGGCCAUACAGGUCAGCUGUGAAAACUCGAGGCUCAACCUCGAGACGUCGGUUGAAACCGUGUGGCUAGAGUCCGGAAGAGGAGAGUGGAAUUCCCGGUGUAGCGGUGAAAUGCGCAGAUAUCGGGAAGAACACCCGUGGCGAAGGCGGCUCACUGGCCCGUAACUGACGCUCAUGCGCGACAGCGUGGGGAUCGAAACAGGAUUAGAUGACC